CUCCUUCAUGAUCAUCAUC
rnacentral:snRNA from 1 species